AUGAUGCUUUAACGGGUAUAAAACUUACCAAAGAUGUCAUUACUGUCAUUCACCUGUAUAUUUUAAGUAAGUAAUUGAGAUUGAAUUAGAGCGUGUUCUAGUAUUAACGAAUAGCAUAUCAUAUUAUAAUUCAGUAGGAAAUAUGAGAUUAAUAAGUAUGCUGAAAAUUAUAUAAUUAAAGGAGUGUUAUUGAUACGGAUAUAGCAUUCAAAAGAAGAACUGUUCUUAACUAGUGAUAACUUUGAAGUGUUGAAGGCGGAUGCAAAAGCUAGUGUUGAAAUAACGAACCCAAAUUUCCCUUUUCGAGACUGAUAUUUUAAUAUCAUUGAAGAUGUUGCCUCAUGGUUCCGAUGUUUUCCGUGCCGUUCUCAGUGAAAUAGACAACAAAUAUCUACAAGAAAAUAAAUACCUUCAAACUGUUUGUGUCAAACAAGGUAAUACAGAUAUCCAAACCGAUGUUUAUAAACCGACAGCACUAAAUACACUUAAUGAGAACACUGUUUCGAGGGAAAACAAACAUGUACGAUCUAACCGAGUUCAAUGGAUAGAUGAAUGUAAAAGAGUUCCCAUAGCUUCAGAGAGUAAACGUUGUUCUCAAGGGGACUCCAAAAAGUACUUGAAACCAAUUUUGAAAUACAGACCAGUCUAUGAUUGGUUUUAAGUGAUUUUACCGAAGAUAAGGUCAAACUGUGUCGAUGUGGUUUUACCGAAGAUCAAGUCAAACUGUGUCGAUGUGAUUUUACCGAAGAUAAGGUCAAACUAUGUCGAUGUGAUUUUACCGAAGAUAAGGUUAAACUAUGUCGAUGUGAUUGUAUACUUUCUGAUGAAUAUGUAAAAUUUGGUGCUAAAUGUUACUUGUGCGAAUUGUUGUAACGUUUAUAUAUUUUUUUUGGUAGACUAAAACUGCCAAAAAAUACAACAAAUUCACAUCUGCCUUCCAUGAUCUCAGGUAAAAAGUUGUUCAGUUAUUUAUUCGUCCUGUGCUUUUUAACAAAUAUGGUGCAUGUCUGCAUUGAGACAGAAUAUCAAACGAAUGUGUUUGUGUUGUAAUUACAAUGUAAUUGAAUAGUUUGUAAAAUUUACUUUCGUACCUGUAUUUAAAUUGUGUAAUUAAGCAAUACCUUGUGUACAAAUAUUUGAUGUGAAAUGGAGCAAAAUAAAAUAUAAAAUAGAUA